GCAGCAGCCACGGGAAUACGAAGGGGGCUAGCGUUGCUCGGAAUGACUGGGCGUAAAGGGCGCGUAGGCGGCGGCCAAAGUCAGGCGUGAAAUUCCCGGGCUCAACCUGGGGGCUGCGUUUGAUACUUGGUUGCUUGAGUGGGGAAGAGGGUCGUGGAAUUCCCAGUGUAGAGGUGAAAUUCGUAGAUAUUGGGAAGAACACCGGUGGCGAAGGCGGCGACCUGGUCCUUUACUGACGCUGAGGCGCGAAAGCGUGGGGAGCAAACAGGAUUAGAUACCCCCGUAGUCCCUGUCUCUUAUAC
rnacentral:rRNA from 1 species